CUAUUGUUGCUUUGGCGGGCCGUGGCCUCCACUGCGGGCUCUGCUCGNGNGUGCCCGCCAGAGAACCAAACUCUGAAUGUUAGUGAUGUCCGAGUACUAUCUAAUAGUUAAAACUUUCAACAACGGAUCUCUUGGUUCUGGCAUCGAUGAAGAACGCAGCGAAANGCGAUAAGUAAUGUGAAUUGCAGAAUUCAGUGAAUCAUNGAAUCUUUGAACGCACAUUGCGCCCUGUGGUAUUCCGCAGGGCAUGCCUGUUCGAGCGUCAUUUAACCACUCACGCCUAGCGUGGUAUUGGGGCACGCGGUCUCCGCGGCCCUCAAAACUAGUGGCGGCGCCGGUGGGCUCUAAGCGUAGUACAUACUCCCGCUAUAGAGUUCCCCCCGGUGGCUCGCCAGAACCCCCAAUUUUUACAGGUUGACCUCGGAUCAGGUAGGGAUACCCGCUGAACUUAAGCAUAUCAAUAAGCGGAGGAAAAGAAACCAACAGGGAUUACCUCAGUAACGGCGAGUGAAGCGGUAACAGCUCAAAUUUGAAAGCUGCCAACAGNCCGC
rnacentral:rRNA from 1 species